AUGGCCAUAUCACGAAACACCAGUUCCCAUCCGAUCACUGAAGUUAAGCAAUGUUGAACCUGGUCAUUGCCUAGAUGAGUGACAGUUCGGAAAUACCAGAUGCUGUAAG